AAGACUAUACUUUCAGGGAUCAUUUCUUUAGUUGUUGACUUGAGAAAUGUGUUUUUAAAGCGUUCAGUCUUGCUGUUGAUGAAGAGUUCAGAUGUUUCUUUCAGAGCAGGAAACUGGUGAGAUGACUUUCUUUCUUCUCCACUGUUGAAGAUUGUUCAGAGUUUCUGGAAGACUCUCUGAUGGAGGAAACAUGAUCUGAGUGGA
rnacentral:snoRNA from 1 species